rnacentral:rRNA from 1 species
GGGUUGUGAGGUUAAGCGACUAAGCGUACACGGUGGAUGCCCUGGCAGUCAGAGGCGAUGAAGGACGUGCUAAUCUGCGAUAAGCGUCGGUAAGGUGAUAUGAACCGUUAUAACCGGCGAUUUCCGAAUGGGGAAACCCAGUGUGAUUCGUCACACUAUCAUUAACUGAAUCCAUAGGUUAAUGAGGCGAACCGGGGGAACUGAAACAUCUAAGUACCCCGAGGAAAAGAAAUCAACCGAGAUUCCCCCAGUAGCGGCGAGCGAACGGGGAGCAGCCCAGAGCCUGAAUCAGUGUGUGUGUUAGUGGAAGCGUCUGGAAAGGCGUGCGAUACAGGGUGACAGCCCCGUACACAAAAAUGCACAUGCUGUGAGCUCGAUGAGUAGGGCGGGACACGUGGUAUCCUGUCUGAAUAUGGGGGGACCAUCCUCCAAGGCUAAAUACUCCUGACUGACCGAUAGUGAACCAGUACCGUGAGGGAAAGGCGAAAAGAACCCCGGCGAGGGGAGUGAAAAAGAACCUGAAACCGUGUACGUACAAGCAGUGGGAGCACAGAGCAAUCUGUGUGACUGCGUACCUUUUGUAUAAUGGGUCAGCGACUUAUAUUCUGUAGCAAGGUUAACCGAAUAGGGGAGCCGAAGGGAAACCGAGUCUUAACUGGGCGUUAAGUUGCAGGGUAUAGACCCGAAACCCGGUGAUCUAGCCAUGGGCAGGUUGAAGGUUGGGUAACACUAACUGGAGGACCGAACCGACUAAUGUUGAAAAAUUAGCGGAUGACUUGUGGCUGGGGGUGAAAGGCCAAUCAAACCGGGAGAUAGCUGGUUCUCCCCGAAAGCUAUUUAGGUAGCGCCUCGUGAAUUCAUCUCCGGGGGUAGAGCACUGUUUCGGCAAGGGGGUCAUCCCGACUUACCAACCCGAUGCAAACUGCGAAUACCGGAGAAUGUUAUCACGGGAGACACACGGCGGGUGCUAACGUCCGUCGUGAAGAGGGAAACAACCCAGACCGCCAGCUAAGGUCCCAAAGUCAUGGUUAAGUGGGAAACGAUGUGGGAAGGCCCAGACAGCCAGGAUGUUGGCUUAGAAGCAGCCAUCAUUUAAAGAAAGCGUAAUAGCUCACUGGUCGAGUCGGCCUGCGCGGAAGAUGUAACGGGGCUAAACCAUGCACCGAAGCUGCGGCAGCGACGCUGAUGCGUUGUUGGGUAGGGGAGCGUUCUGUAAGCCUGCGAAGGUGUGCUGUGAGGCAUGCUGGAGGUAUCAGAAGUGCGAAUGCUGACAUAAGUAACGAUAAAGCGGGUGAAAAGCCCGCUCGCCGGAAGACCAAGGGUUCCUGUCCAACGUUAAUCGGGGCAGGGUGAGUCGACCCCUAAGGCGAGGCCGAAAGGCGUAGUCGAUGGGAAACAGGUUAAUAUUCCUGUACUUGGUGUUACUGCGAAGGGGGGACGGAGAAGGCUAUGUUGGCCGGGCGACGGUUGUCCCGGUUUAAGCGUGUAGGCUGGUUUUCCAGGCAAAUCCGGAAAAUCAAGGCUGAGGCGUGAUGACGAGGCACUACGGUGCUGAAGCAACAAAUGCCCUGCUUCCAGGAAAAGCCUCUAAGCAUCAGGUAACAUCAAAUCGUACCCCAAACCGACACAGGUGGUCAGGUAGAGAAUACCAAGGCGCUUGAGAGAACUCGGGUGAAGGAACUAGGCAAAAUGGUGCCGUAACUUCGGGAGAAGGCACGCUGAUAUGUAGGUGAAGUCCCUCGCGGAUGGAGCUGAAAUCAGUCGAAGAUACCAGCUGGCUGCAACUGUUUAUUAAAAACACAGCACUGUGCAAACACGAAAGUGGACGUAUACGGUGUGACGCCUGCCCGGUGCCGGAAGGUUAAUUGAUGGGGUUAGCGCAAGCGAAGCUCUUGAUCGAAGCCCCGGUAAACGGCGGCCGUAACUAUAACGGUCCUAAGGUAGCGAAAUUCCUUGUCGGGUAAGUUCCGACCUGCACGAAUGGCGUAAUGAUGGCCAGGCUGUCUCCACCCGAGACUCAGUGAAAUUGAACUCGCUGUGAAGAUGCAGUGUACCCGCGGCAAGACGGAAAGACCCCGUGAACCUUUACUAUAGCUUGACACUGAACAUUGAGCCUUGAUGUGUAGGAUAGGUGGGAGGCUUUGAAGUGUGGACGCCAGUCUGCAUGGAGCCGACCUUGAAAUACCACCCUUUAAUGUUUGAUGUUCUAACGUUGA